GGAAAGAUGAGUGACCAGAGGUCUAGCUCCACCAGAGACACCAUUGUCGCUCAGAGGAAGAACACCGUUACCGUUCCAUUGAUCUUAAACUAUUGUCUUAACCCACUUGCGCUGGUUCUUCUUGCUUUGAAUCUGACCUACCACUCAUCUUCAUCAUUCCGCCAAGUCGCUCCUCCUCUCCCCCAACCCGUUUCGUGGCUGGAUCGAAACCGGUCGUGGAGCAUGGAUCCUCGUGGUAGCCGCGCUGAAGAGGCCGAUUCUGGCCUGCCACUAUCCUCACCUUCAAAACGAUCUGCUUGUUCCCGUCAUUCUCCACCGCAAAACCACAUGCUCACCCUUUGCCAUCAUCGCUGCUAGUCGGAGCUCGGAGCGGUUGGUUGCGUCGACGAUCCGAUGGGUUUCGCGUGCUUCUAUAUCAAAACUGUCCAAACUUGCAUCUUGAAUUGAGUUACCAUUUUCUGUGAUACUUGGAGAGUUUCCAGCCUGUUGGUAUCGAUUGCCACCCUUCCCUGUCGAGCUGGUUGAGACGAUACCCACUGUUAUCGCUCCCGAGAUUUGAUAAGUUCCCAUCUGUUCUCAAAUGUAUCAUUAGA
rnacentral:lncRNA from 1 species